UACGGAGGAGGCAAGCGUUAUCCGGAAUUAUUGGGCGUAAAGCGUCCGUAGAUGGUUUUGUCAGUCUGCUGUCAAAGCACAGGGCUUAACCCUGUAAAGGCAGUGGAAACUACAAGACUAGAGUGCAGUAGGGGCAGAGGGAAUUCCCAGUGUAGCGGUGAAAUGCGUAGAGAUUGGGAAGAACAUCCGUGGCAAAAGCGCUCUGCUGGACUGCAACUGACAUUGAGGGACGAAAGCUAGGGGAGCGAAUGGG
rnacentral:rRNA from 1 species